CCUGGGUUCCAUCCCUGGGGUUGAGAAGAUCCCCUGGAGAAGGUUAGGCAUAAGAAUUGAAGUCUAAAAGAAGCAUGUUUUUGGACUAACUUAUUUAAAGGAUGUAAGAAGACAGCUUGAAACCAUAAAUUCCAGGAGGAUGCCCCCACAGUAGUCUUAAAAUGCCAAACAUGGUGUCCCUGGCACAGCUCGCUGCUCAGUGCCUCCUCUCCUCUGCCACUGAGGAAAUCAUGCUACAGGGGCACCCGAUGCCAGUCCUGGCUCUCAUCUGUGUCGGUGCUGACCAUGCCGUGGCUGUGAACCAGGACGUGAGUGGGGAUUUCCUCUGUGAAGAAAGAAGUAAUAUCAAAAGUCAAAGGUCAACAGAGUACAUAACAUUAGUACCUGUUAAAGGCCAUGAGCAUAGUAGAAUACUUGAAUUGAGACUUAAAGCCUGGGAAAGACACAGUUAUGAGGUUGUAGAAUCUGUAGCAGUUAUCUAUUUCUGCAUAAAAACCACCUCAAAUCUUAGUGGCUAAGAAAGUACCUGUUUAAUUUAGCUCAAUAUUUUAUUGCAGGUUGACAUUGUUGGUUGGGCUUAGUGGGCAGUUCAUCUGAUGUGGGCUAAACUUGACUAACCUUGGCUGAGCUCCUUACUUAUGUAUUGACAGUCAGCUGGCAGAUUGCCAGGGCUGAUUGAUUUAUGAUCCACAAGAUCACAUCCGGGACAACUGGGAUGACUGGGGCCAUUUCCCACAUGGACUUGCAACCUCUAACAGGUUAGCCUGAGUUUAUUUCCAUGGUGGACACAGAAUUCCAAGAGUUUGAGAAUGGAAGCUGGGAUGUCUCUUGAGGCCUAGGCUCAGAAUGAGUGUAGUGUCAUUUAUGUGUAUUCUCAUGGUCACAGCUAUAAGACCAGCCAAGAUUCAAGGGUUCUAUACCUCUUGUUGGAAGGUGUUGAAAUAGUGUGACUCUUGUAGUCUACUCCAGGAGUCCAGUUCAGACUCACGUUUGCUGAGUGAUUUAACCCUUGCAGUUAAGUGUGAUGACCAUGCUCAAAAUCUAUCUUUGACAAAGCCUAGUAGAAAUACCAAUAUAAAUAGCAGCAGGGUAAAAGUCUGAAUACAAAUGGCUUUUUCCUCAGCCAAAUAUGUAUUGACUUUUUAGGAAACCUUUCUUUCAACUUGCUUUAAAUAGGUCAGUUAGGAACAUGAUGUCUGGAUUGCUAGGCUGGCCAGGGUGAUGUAUGGUUAUCUUGCCUUCCCACUUCUUUGGGAAAAAAAGCACUACAUACUGAAAGGGUGAAGGAGAUGUGGUGUUUAGUUCUGUUAAUAAAUGCCAUGGUCAUGAAUGCAGAGCAUUAAAAAAGCUACACAUGACAGUUCUCCAAUUUAAAAGAGCCAGCUUCAAGUCUUGAUUUCUUUAUUUUCAACUUAGUUGACUUUGCAGUUUCUGAUUUCAGUAAUUGGUGUAAUUCCUCUUACUUUAUUUUGGUUUUGUAGAAGCAGUUCUAGAAAUUUUGUCAAUUCUUGUUUUUACUAUGCGGAGGUAGGGGGAGGUGGCAAAUAAGUCCUUUCUCUAAUAAGCUUCUCUCCCCUAAAUUGACCACGAUAGCUUCUCAAUCCAGACAGUUAUAUGUGAGGUUUAGACAGAGCCAGAUAGACCUACUGGUUCAUGUCUUUGUUUAUAAAGUUAUGGUUUCUUGGUCAAACCUUUAACUCAGAAUGAAACAUGAGUAAUGUCAGGGUGUAACAUUAAAGGGGAAAUACUAAAGAUGAUGCUUUAUAAAAAUUCAAGGUUAUUUUUUGUUGUUCUCAGUUCUUCCUUACCUAAGGACCAUAUAUAUCUUGAGGUUGUUACAUAUUUAUGCAUAAAAAUCCCAGUUUCCCUCUGAUUCUUGUAAAUGUACCAAAUGAUGCUAAUUAAAAUAAACAUCCUGUUCAACAGAGAAACAGUGUAUUAUAGUAGAACUGUCAGUGAAUGCUAGAGCCAGAGUCUUGUUUGAAUUAGGAGUAUGUCUGCUAAGUUAAGGCAUCCUACAGAGAUGUAUAAUGUCAGAGCUUCCAGCAGUCCAUACUGUCUUUAUUGAGAGACGUAUUUAUAUAUUCCAGACUAGUAAUUAAUCACUCAGUGGGGUUUUUGGGGGGACAUCAUGCUCACAGAGAAUCUUUUUGUGCUGCCAGAAAUCACAAAGCAUGGGCACAAUUAAAAUGCUGAUUUAGUUUAUUAUAUUGAGGCAUGGAACAGGAAUGUUUAAAUGAUGUUGACAGGG